rnacentral:rRNA from 1 species
UGAGUAACCUGCCCUUAACUCUGGGAUAAGCCUGGGAAACUGGGUCUAAUACCGGAUAUGACUCCUCAUCGCAUGGUGGGGGGUGGAAAGCUUUAUUGUGGUUUUGGAUGGACUCGCGGCCUAUCAGCUUGUUGGUGAGGUAAUGGCUCACCAAGGCGACGACGGGUAGCCGGCCUGAGAGGGUGACCGGCCACACUGGGAUUGAGACACGGCCCAGACUCCUACGGGAGCAG